AUACGGAGGAUCCGAGCGUUAUCCGGAUUUAUUGGGUUUAAAGGGAGCGUAGGCGGACGCUUAAGUCAGUUGUGAAAGUUUGCGGCUCAACCGUAAAAUUGCAGUUGAUACUAGGUGUCUUGAGUACAGUAGAGGCAGGCGGGAUUCGUGGGGUAGAGGGGAAAUGCUUAGAUAUCACGAAGAACUCCGAUUGCGAAGGCAGCCUGCUGGACUGUAACUGACGCUGAUGCUCGAAAGUGUGGGUAUCAAACAGGAUUAGAUACCCUGGUAGUCCACACAGUAAACGAUGAAUACUCGCUGUUUGCGAUAUACAGUAAGCGGCCAAGCGAAAGCGUUAAGUAUUCCACCUGGGGAGUACGCCGGCAACGGUGAAACUCAAAUGAAUUGACGGGG
rnacentral:rRNA from 1 species